UCAGGAUGAACGCUGGCGGCGUGCUUAACACAUGCAAGUCGAACGAAGCCAAAAGGAAGCUUGCUUUCUUGAAGCUUAGUGGCGGACGGGUGAGUAACGCGUGAGGAACCUGCCCUUCAGUGGGGAAUAACAGCCGGAAACGACUGCUAAUACCGCAUAACGUCAUCGGACCGCAUGAUCUGAUGACCAAAGGAUUUAUUCGCUGAAGGAUGGCCUCGCGUCCGAUUAGGCAGUUGGUGAGGUAACGGCCCACCAAACCUACGAUCGGUAGCCGAACUGAGAGGUUGAUCGGCCACAUUGGGACUGAGACACGGCCCAGACUCCUACGGGAGGCAGCAGUGGGGAAUAUUGGGCAAUGGGCGAAAGCCUGACCCAGCAACGCCGCGUGAAGGAAGACGGUCUUCGGAUUGUAAACUUCUUUGAUUGGGGAAGAACACAAUGACCUACCCAAAGAACAAGUCACGGCUAACUACGUGCCAGCCGCAGC
rnacentral:rRNA from 1 species